rnacentral:rRNA from 1 species
UACGGGGGGGGCAAGCGUUGUUCGGAAUUACUGGGCGUAAAGCGUGCGUAGGCGGUUAUCUAAGUCGGAUGUGAAAGCCCCGGGCUCAACCUGGGAACUGCGUCUGAUACUGGAUGGCUUGAAUCCGGGAGAGGGAUGCAGAAUUCCAGGUGUAGCGGUGAAAUGCGUAGAUAUCUGGAGGAAUACCGGUGGCGAAGGCGGCAUCCUGGACCGGCAUUGACGCUGAGGAGCGAAAGCCAGGGGAGCAAACGGG